CGCAUCUGUGCAUGCAGCAUAUCAAUAAGCGGAGGAAAAGAAACUAACAAGGAUUCCCCUAGUAACGGCGAGUGAAGCGGGAAGAGCUCAAAUUUGAAAUCUUAAAGGGUUUCCCUUUACGAAUUGUAGUUUAAAGAAGUGUUUUCUGUUGAGGUUUUGGUAAAAGUUCUUUGGAAUAGGACAUCAUAGAGGGUGAGAAUCCCGUAUUUGACCUUUACUUUCAACUUUGUGAUACACUUUCAAAGAGUCGGAUUGUUUGGGAAUGCAGUCCAAAAUGGGUGGUAAAUUUCAUCUAAAGCUAAAUAUUGGCGAGAGACCGAUAGCGAACAAGUACCGUGAGGGAAAGAUGAAAAGAACUUUGAAAAGAGAGUUAAACAGUACGUGAAAUUGUCAAAAGGGAAGCGUUUGACACCAGUGUUGUUUUUCUGAAAAUCAAUUAAAGAACUGUUUAUGCUAAGUUGUUUAGACUUUAUCAGCUAACUGUUUAGUUUUGAGCUUUUCUUUAAUGCACUUUUCAGUUAACAAGUCAACAUCAAUUUCUUUUGCUGUAAAAAAGCUUGAGGAAGGUGGCUUGAGAUUCGUCUUAAGUGUUUAUAGCCUCUUGCCUAUGCAGUCGGAGAGAUUGAGGUCUGCAGCGUAGAUCCUUCGGGGCUAAUGCAUUUGUGCUAAGUUAUAGCAUUUUAUAGACAACUUGUUGACUAUGAUUUGUCUUGUAGCUUACUCGCUUAUGUUAUUUUACCUACGCUUAGGAUGUUGACAGCAGUAUAGACUGU
rnacentral:rRNA from 1 species